UGGGGAAUCUUCCGCAAUGGGCGAAAGCCUGACGGAGCAACGCCGCGUGAGUGAUGAAGGCCUUUGGGUCGUAAAGCUCUGUCAUCAGGGAAGAAACAAAUGACGGUACCUGAUGAGGAAGCCCCGGCUAACUACGUGCCAGCAGCCGCGGUAAAACGUAGGGGGCGAGCGUUGUCCGGAAUUACUGGGCGUAAAGGGCGUGUAGGCGGCUCGUGAAGUCAGGAGUGAAAACCCGGAGCUUAACUCCGGGACUGCUUUUGAAACCAACGGGCUUGAGUACAGGAGAGGGAAGUGGAAUUCCCAGUGUAGCGGUGAAAUGCGUAGAUAUUGGGAGGAACACCAGUGGCGAAAGCGGCUUCCUGGCCUGAAACUGACGCUGAGGCGCGAAAGCGUGGGGAGCAAACAGG
rnacentral:rRNA from 2 species